rnacentral:lncRNA from 1 species
GCCGAGAUCAUGCCAUUGCACUCCAGCCUGGGCAAUAAGAGUGAAACUCCAUCUCAAAAAAAAAACAAAAACCCCAAAAAACAAAACAAGAAAAACUAUUAGACAGAAAGUCAACAGGGCUGAGUGUGUGGCUCACACCUGUAAUAGGAUAUAGAAUUUAACACUACCAUUAGCCAACAGGAUGUAAUCAGCACUUAUAGUACAUCAACAACAAAAAAAACACAUUCUUUUUAGGCACCCAUGAAACAUGUAUCAAGAUCAACCAUAUCUUGGGUUAUAAAACAAACCUCAACAAAUUUAAAAGAAUUGAAAUCAUACAGAGUGUAUGACCAAAAUGGACUCAAACUUAGAAUUAAUAACACAAAGACAAUCUCCAGGAAGAUCUUCAAACACUUGAAAACUAAAUAACACAUUUCUAAGUAAUCUAUGAACCAAAGAGCAAUCCUCAAGAGAAAUACAAAAUUCAUUAACCUGAAUGAAAAUGAAAAUACAAUGUAUCAAAAUUUGUAAGAUACAGCUAAAUCACAACUAGGAAGGAAAUUAAUAGCACUAAAUGCUUACAUUAGAAAAGAGGAAAAAAACCUCAAAUCAAUAAUACAAGCUUCCACCUCAGGAAAUUAGAAAAGAACAAAAUAAACCCUAAACAAAC